rnacentral:lncRNA from 1 species
CAGGUUCCAAAAAGUUGUUACGACACAAAAGUAAAUCAGAAAAAUGAAACAAUGGGUUUUUUUUAAGAAAACCAUAAUCACCCCCUGCUCAAAUGACACAGAGACGAGAGAAUUGAACUCAAGCGUGGAAUCAAAUUAAUCAAUUACCAACUUUACCUAAAAAGAAACCUCAGAAAUCAACUUUCCCUAAUUCCACAAAGAAAAUCAACAACAUUCAAUCCAAACUGUAACUUUCAUAUAACACAAAUUAUGCCUAUUAAGCAAAGAGUAAAACAUAAAUUUAGAGUGACAAUAAAUGCUCCACAUCAAAACUCACAAGCAACCGAACAGAACUCUAGCGCGAAAUCAAAUCUAUCAAUAGCCAAAUUUAAUUAAAAAGAAACCUCACAAUUCUUAGAGCGAGUAAAAAGCAAACUAAAAAUAGUAUGUAACAUAUCAAUUUAACUACAAAAUGAUUUGUGAAAAUAGAUGGCUAUUUGUUAGUUUAGUGGCAAAUAUCUCUUCAUCUUGUAAUAUCAUUAAUUGAUAUUUCUUGUUUCCCUCACUGGUUGUUCGAGGAUGAUCUCUAUCUACCACUUGGACUUUACAGGUUCAUUCUUCUGCUCAUGUCGAUUUUGUUGAUAUUCAACUUUUCUAUCAUGACUGAAAACUGAGGUUGAAAUAUGCAAAUCAACAUCAUUAACGGAAGAAGAAUGGUAUGAAAUAGAAAAAUAUACAAGGUUAAAUAGCAUUUCAGAAAUUUUCAAGACUACCCUGCUCCACCAUUUCCCCUCUCCAACUGAGCUCAAACAACUUAACCAAUAAACCUCCAUCGCUACUCGCACUUUCUCGGUUAACUUAUACCUUGUUCAAUGAACUUAAUUUGCCUACACUAAUAUAUUUCAUAAUCAAUUACUAAUACAAAAUUCAUGUCCCAAAAAAUUAAUAUAAAGCGCCAUAAUUUAGAGCUUGUUCGGAUUGAAUUAAAAUUUCAUCAAAUCUACAAGUUAUUUUUAAAUUUUGGGAGAGAUUUUUAGCUCCAUUGAUCAGCAAGAAGUUGCUAUAUGGAGUAGCUGUAAGGUUGUUCUUUAAUUCAAAUGCGUAGUUACAAUGUGAGUGUUGACUAUUUCACUUUCUCAUUUGUUCUUAAGGCUUGUGUGGGGUUAUGAGAUUCUUUAUGUGGGAGAAUUGUUCAUGUGUAUGUAUAGGAAUUUGGGUUUCAAUCGAAUUUAGUUUUGUUAAAUGCAAUUUUUCAUUUGUAUUCUACUUCUGGAGCAAUAGAUGAUGUUAUCUUUCUGUUACCCUAGAUCAGUAAGUCCAUUCGAGUAUGAAUAAUUGAACAUCCUUAAACUCCAAGCUAAACCACAACAGCCUAGAAAACUGAUUUUGAUGGAGAACUCAUAUAUGAACAGAGGAAGUUCAAAAGGUUUUUGAUUAAAAAAAAACCCCAACUAAAAUAAAGAAACUCAAAAUUCCGAAGAAAAAAGACCAAACUAAUUAGUGCAUGUGAGAAAACACAUGAAUUACUUUACUCUUAUAGUAGAAAAGGUUAGUUAAAACUUCAAUUUGGAUGCUAAAUUUUGUCUGAUUUCUGCUCUUUUCUUAUCUCUGGAUAUUCGAUUGUUAGAUCGAAGAAAAAAUGGAAAGUCAAAGAAUCAUACUGCACACACAAUCAGUCCUACAAGGCUCACAGGACUGGAAUCAAGAAGCCAAAGAGUCAUCGUCAUAGCUCCACCAAAGGGGUAUGUAAAAAGAAACCAACUUUUAUUUACAGAUUUUGCUUCUCUUGAUAUUUUUCUAUUGAUAUCAAUCUCUUUUACAACUUUGGCUGUUGGGUACAUUAGCUCCUGUUACGCUGUAAAUUUAAAAUUUGAGUUGAUGAAGUGUUAAUUUUGGAAUAUGAAAAUUGUGUUUGAACACCAAGGAUGUAGUUUUCUAAUAAUCUAAAAUAAUACAUGGAAGCAUAAUCACCCAACCAAAAGGAUAAUCCAACAUCAAUAACAAAUUCAAAUAAAAAAAGUAAGAAAACACUUUCGCAUCCAGAUCAAAUUUGGAACUUUGAUUUUGACGAAGAGGAAGAUGACACAAAAAAAACCUCAACUGAAUCAUGUAAAAAUCACACUGGAGAAUGUUGAAGAGAAAACUUAACAUUGAUGUGCACACGGUGGAGAAGACACAUCAGAAUAAGGAACUGAAAUGACAAAAAUUGUUAAGCUAGGACAAAGACACGUAUACUUUUUAGAAAAUGAAAUCACAAAACUACCCUUGAGAGAAGUGAAACAGACAUGUUGAAACAAGCCUUUUCUAAUAUAUACUAGGUAGACAUGGCACGUGCAAGCACGGUCCCGGCGUUGAAAAAUAUUUGCGAGCUAAAUGCUUGUAUACAGAGAGACACACGUAUUUCAUUUACAUGUUGCACUAUAUAGUGUUGCAUCUUGCCUACAUUACGAUAUUUGAAAAAAAGUAUCUGCAGAUAAUGGAAAAUUACUUCAAGUUCAAAGUGGAAUAUUUAGCUAUACAUGUCUUUUUAUAGCAAGUCAGAGUUCCCUUCACACCAAUCAAAGUUUUAAUCUAAUAAAUCUCCCUAUCUUUUUCAGUAGCUUUGUAAUAACCUGCAACAGUUUUUCAAUUUCUCCUCAGCCCUGUUAGGAGCAUUCUUGUCUCUCAUACAUGGAUAAUACCAUUCUUUUAAACACUAUUUUUGAGUUCACUACAUUCUAACCCAAUACCGGCCAAGAAAAGAACAUGCCACAACUAAUAUUAAUUAAGUUGCGGUCAAUUACAUAAAUAUCCACGGAUUAUAACAAGAGAAAUAUAACAUUUGUAAUGCUCAACUAUCAAGUAAAAACAUCUGUAAGCUACCAUUAAGAUUGGUGAUAUCUUUUUUCCAGAUUCAUUAUAUUUUCGUUCAUGAAGAUGUCUUCUUUUUUUCUAAGUGUUUUUUACCCAAAUGUCUAAAGGGACUCCUACGAGUGAAUGUUGUGGAGCAGGUUAAUAACCACAUAGAAUGUGAAAUUCUAAGGAGAUGCAUUCACAGGCGAACUAUAAUCCUUAUUCUUGCAACAGAAGAAUGAAAAAACUUCAUUACAAUUGCAAAGUUAUCAUUAAGGAGAUUCAUCCAACUAAGGCAUAUACUCACUUAACCGUAUACAUGAGAAAGAUACAUUGUUAAUCAUAGCAAGAAUCUAAGCCUAAUGAUUAUGUCAAAGCACAAUUGUAAAACCAAACACUAAAAUAGUGGAAGAAGCAAAAAGCUCCAAAUUCAGUUGAAACAAACAAUACAAACAUAUAUAAAUAUCUCGGAAGACAUAAAUUUGAUUAAACAAAAAAAACAAGUUGAAAUCAAACUAAAAGCAACCAAGCACACAGUAGGAUAGUAAACCCAAAAUGAAAGAGAUACAUACAUACAUUACAUGAAAAGUGAAGUAAACUGGAUUGAGAGGGUAACGAAAUCUACUUUGUUGUGUGGUGACAAAGCGUGACACCAUUGACUCCACCUCUAAACUCUCCUUCAAGUUUACAACUAACAUUACUAUAUUCUAAUGAACUAUUAGUAUCUUGAUCUCGAUAUAAACUUAAUCACAUUGAAUAUUUAUAUUCAAUCGGCAUGUCAAUAGCGAUGUUGGGAUUAUCGCCAAAUUGGGCUACCAUAGUCAAUAAACAUAGUAAUUGAGGCAUGAAAAAUGUAAUUCUUAGAUCUUAAAAUGUUCAAUAUAAGGAAGAACCAAUCAUCACACUUGUGAUGAGAGUCUUUUCUUCCUUCAUUGUUUUAAUGCUUAAAUAAAAGAUAUCCUAUCUUAAAAUGCAAUACAUGAAAUUUCAUCUAUGCAUUAUUGUUGAAUAUGUUAUAGUGAACUUCCGUAUGCUAGAUUCACUACUUUAGCAAUUAAUUAAGACAUUUGAUAAUAAAAUUAAAAAGAAAAGAGAAAAGAAUGCAAAUAAACUACUUAUUAUAUUAUAUAAAAAAGUAAAACAUAUCAAAUGUUUACCUUGUCAACCUUCUAAUCUAAUCAAAUACUCUUUUCUCGAUUUCACCUAUAUGUGCUAUGAAAUCUAUUUUGUCCUUACUCUUCAUUUCAAAUUCCUCUUAUUAUUCUCUCAACCUGUUUUCAAACUGAUCAGCUUGUGCAUGAACCUUUUCAACUUUCUUUUAGUAUUCUCCUUUUCUAUACAAAACAACACGACUUAUGGUGCUACGACUUACAUCAACACUACAAAGACAUUUUCAUGAAACAAAAGAGCAUACAAAGUGAACUUGCUAAUUUGAGGGUCUCACCUGUAGAAAUUUUAGGGUUUCACCUACAGAAAGGUCAACUCAGUUGACAAUGACUUGAUACACCAUUUACAUAGAUACAAAAACAUACAUGAAGUUAGGAACAAGAAACAAGAUGGUUAGUUUUAAUAUCUCAUCAUUUUUUUCUUUUCUAAAAUGCUCCCUUGAAAUGAUGGUGGCCAUUGAUAAUGCCAAGCUAACCAAAAAGUUGAUUCGCUAGGAAAUAAAUCUGUCCUGAAUUUUUUUCUUCUUUAAUUGCACCAAAAAUCCAUAUGAACCAAAAGAAGGCCAAAUUAGUUACUGCAUGUGACAAAAAAACAUUGAAACGCAACAUUGGCGAAUGAAAAAAUGAAACAGCAAAAUUUAUCCCAAGCAAAAGACAAAAUUGAACAUCAACAACAAACUCAAAUUGAAAAAAAUUACAAGUAUGAAGAGACCCAGAUCGAAUUCAUGAACAAAACAAUGUGAAAUAACAACACACCAGCCAGAAAUAGAUGGGAGAAAUCAAAAAUUGAUAUUUGUUAAUAUAAAAAAGCGAAAAAAUCAAAACAUCAUAGCAGACUUAAAUCUAUUUUUUUUCUCAAGAUUAUCAAACUGAGCCAAAAAUCAAUUUUAAUUGUUCAUUACCUGAACGAAUAUUGAGAUUUUUGAGUAGACGAUGGAAGAAACUUCCCAGAUAAAGAAGAGGAACAAUUGUUCACUAACAACAAGGAAUUGAUGCAAAAACAAAAACAAUGGAAAAAGUGAAGAUGAAGGGAUACGUAAACAAUGAUGUGACACAUUCAAG